rnacentral:rRNA from 1 species
ACGGAGGGUGCAAGCGUUAUCCGGAUUCACUGGGUUUAAAGGGUGCGUAGGCGGGCAGGUAAGUCAGAGGUGAAAUCUCCGGGCUUAACCCGGAAACUGCCUUUGAUACUAUCUGUCUUGAAUAUGGUGGAGGUCAGCGGAAUAUGUCAUGUAGCGGUGAAAUGCUUAGAGAUGACAUAGAACACCCAUUGCGAAGGCAGCUGACUACGCCUAUAUUGACGCUGAGGCACGAAAGCGUGGGGAUCAAACAGG